rnacentral:rRNA from 1 species
UUUCUAUUUGACCCUGGUAGAUAAUAGAAACGUGGUUAGUAGAGCUA